UCCCAGAGCUUUGGCCGUCGC
rnacentral:miRNA from 1 species